rnacentral:rRNA from 1 species
CUUAGAAGCAGCCAUCCUUGAAAGAGUGCGUAAUAGCUCACUGGUCGAGUGGUUCCGCGCCGACAAUGUAGUGGGGCUCAAGUACACCGCCGAAGCCGCGGCAACAAUGUUUUGUUGGGUAGGGGAGCGUCGUGCAUGGUGUGAAGCAGUACCGUGAGGGGUUGUGGACUGUGUGCGAGUGAGAAUGCAGGCAUGAGUAACGAGUGUAAGGUGAGAAUCCUUACCGCUGGAUGACUAAGGGUUCCUGGGUCAAGUUCGUCUUCCCAGGGUGAGUCGGGUCCUAAGGCGAGGCCGACAGGCGUAGUCGAUGGUCAACGGGUUGAUAUUCCCGUACCCGUGUGUGUGCGUCAAGUGAUGAAGCGGUGAUACUAACCACCCUGAUCGCUGGCCAUGGCACUACUUUGUGGUGCUGGGUUGGUGUGAUGCGUGGGGCCUGAGUCGUUGUAGUCAAGUGAUGGGGUGACGCAGUGUGGUAGCCAAGCCACUUAUUGGAUUGUGGUGUAAGCGUGUGGCACGACGGUGUGUGAAAUGCCAUCGUUAUUGUGUGUGAGGCGUGAUGCGUAGCCCAGUGUUGGGUGAUGUUGGUGAUCCUGUGCUGUCGAGAAAAGCCUCUAGCGAGUGUGCAUACGGCCCGUACCCGAAACCGACACAGGUGGUCAGGUAGAGAAUACUAAAGCGGUCGGGUGAACUGUGGUUAAGGAAUUCGGCAAAAUUCCCCCGUAACUUCGGGAGAAGGGGGACCUGUGCUGGUGGCCGCAUUUUUCGUGUGGUGUGCUGGUGUGGGUCGCAGAGAAGAGAGGGGAGCGACUGUUUAUCAAAAACACAGGUCCGUGCGAAGACGGUUAAGUUGAUGUAUACGGACUGACGCCUGCCCGGUGCUGGAAGGUUACGAGGACCUGUUAGAUCCUUUGUUGGGUCGAAGCGGAGAAUUUAAGCCCCAGUAAACGGCGGUGGUAACUAUAACCAUCCUAAGGUAGCGAAAUUCCUUGUCGGGUAAGUUCCGACCUGCACGAAUGGCGUAACGACUCCCCUGCUGUCUCAACCACAGGCCCGGUGAAAUUGCAGUACGAGUAAAGAUGCUCGUUUCGCGCGGCAGGACGAAAAGACCCCGGGACCUUCACUAUAGCUUGGUAUUGGCAUUCGGUGCGGUUUGUGUAGGAUAGGUGGGAGACUGUGAAGCAUUGACGCUAGUUGGUGUGGAGUCGUUGUUGAAAUACCACUCUGACCGUAGUGGAUAUCUAACCUUGGCCCAUGAUCUGGGUUGGGGACAGUGCCUGGUGGGUAGUUUAAC